rnacentral:rRNA from 1 species
GAUGAACGCUGGCAGCGUGCUUAACACAUGCAAGUCGAACGAUGAAGCCCAGCUUGCUGGGUGGAUUAGUGGCGAACGGGUGAGUAACACGUGAGUAACCUGCCCUUAACUCUGGGAUAAGCCUGGGAAACUGGGUCUAAUACCGGAUAGGAGCGCCUACCGCAUGGUGGGUGUUGGAAAGAUUUAUCGGUUUUGGAUGGACUCGCGGCCUAUCAGCUUGUUGGUGAGGUAAUGGCUCACCAAGGCGACGACGGGUAGCCGGCCUGAGAGGGUGACCGGCCACACUGGGACUGAGACACGGCCCAGACUCCUACGGGAGGCAGCAGUGGGGAAUAUUGCACAAUGGGCGAAAGCCUGAUGCAGCGACGCCGCGUGAGGGAUGACGGCCUUCGGGUUGUAAACCUCUUUCAGUAGGGAAGAAGCGAAAGUGACGGUACCUGCAGAAGAAGCACCGGCUAACUACGUG